UUGUAAAAAAAAAAAAAACCACUCUCUCUCUCCCACUCCGGUCUCUCCCUCUCCCACUCAAUUCCCCAUUCCCCCACCGCGUUUCCUCCAACCACCAGGGACGGCGAGGGCAAGCUCCGGAGUGGGUGACCACGGCCAGGUGCCAGACGAGCUCCGCGACGGGGCAUCGCGGGCAAGCUCCUCGAGGGGCUGCGAGGGCGAGCUCGGCCAUGGCACGGAGCGGGCGAGCCAGCUAGGGGCGGCGCGGGAGAGAUCCUCCAGGGCGGCACGGGCGAGGUACGCCAUAGCCGGCGCGGGCGACCACGGCGAGAUGCCGGCGCCGACGAGCUCCGCGAUGGGGCGGCGCGGGCGAGCUCCUCGAGGGGCGGCGAAGGCGAGCUCGGCCAUGGCGCGGCUGGGCAAGCUCUAGCCGUGGGCGGCCGCGGGCGUGAGCAAGUACGAACAGUUCCCUCCGGCGAAAUUUCCCAUCCAGCCAUGGUGUAUGCGCGUGCAUUGUGUUCAGGUUUUAUGGAUUGGGAAGUGUCUGAAGGUUUAGUUAUUGAAUCCAUUAACAGUUUUGCUUCAUAGCUCUGCAGCCUCUUCAUUGGAAUGCAUGAUACAUACUCCAUGUUAGCUGGUUGGUCCAUAUUAGCUGGUUGGUUCAUGACAAGGAAGUGCAUUGAUUUCUUUGUUCUCU